rnacentral:lncRNA from 1 species
GCUGAACGUACGUCUUAACAGUCCAUUAGAUGUGAUCAAGUACCAAUGUUGAAUGCCAUACAAUUACAAGGAGCUGCUAAGUACCAGAAGAUGAACAAGCUAAAUAUCAUUUUAGCAGCUUAACAACAACAAACAAAAAAUAACCAUCCAAGCAACUAGGGCCUACAGGGUCCUUGUCUUAAUGACUAAACCAAGUCAAGUCUGUUGGGCUUGCUGAGUACCAGAGGGUACAAGAGAUUCUAAGUUUGCAGGGCUUAGUCUACAGUUUCCAAGGUUGUUG